UAUCUUUUACUUAUUUUUCUAUUGUUCUUAAUUUUUACAGAUUUAAGGUAGGCACUUCAAAUUGAAUAUCAUUUAUAGACUAUGUGAAUUGAAAAUAACAUUUCCUGGUAUUCCAAACAAACUGAACUCCAGCAUUCCAGUUAUAGACCAUUCCAUUUGUUCCCAUGAAGCAGUAUUGUCUCCUAACCAAUGCGCAGCAUGUCUUCCAGAUCCAGCAAAUGUUGAGCGGGAUAUAUUAACUUAAACACUGCUUCAUGUAAUACUCCAUUGAGUUUACAAAGUAAAUUGAAGUAACACCAUGAAUACAGUGGUUAAGAGUUCUGGUAUCAGUAUGAUUUAAGACCAUAAAAAUACAAAUUUGAAUAAACACUCAAUCACAACUGUUUAAUUAUGAGAAAAUCAGGCCUGUGAAAAAACUAGAAAGAAAACAGCCACAUGGCAAGAGAAGAAGGAAUGGAAGAAGGCUCUGGGAGGUGUUGAAUUUGUUUGAGUUCUUUCUCCUAGAAGACAGAAGCAGGUGCAAUAGAACACAAAUAUAAAAAGGGAAGCCAAGGUUCCUGCCUGGGUCAUAAAAAAUACUGGAUACAAAAGAUUUUAGAAGAAGAAGGAGAAAACAAAUUCAGGGGCAAGACACCAGAACCAUUGGAAAGACCGAUGGAGAGUUACGUGAAGAGCUUCCAGAAAAUAAGGCAUAUACAAGUGCUAGUAUUCCAGUCUUACACACAGAUGCAUAGAUAAAUAAAUAACAUCACACAUUUGCUAAUAAAUAGCACAGAUGACUUUUUAGAUGUAUCUCUAGAUGUAACGAUUCUUAGAAGCUUCAUACCCAAAUUUCCAGAUAUCUUCAACAGUCUAAAGUAGAACUCUUUACCAGCUCCAUCAAGACAAUUCUUUAUCUAGCUCUAUCUCAAUUGAUAUCUUUACAUCUCCCCAAGCAACGUGAGCUCAAGACUUUUAAUUCCUUUUUGUUAAGCGUUCUAUAUUGACACUUAAUUCUGCAAGUGCUCUUCCUCAGUGUCUCAUACGUAAUUCUAUUUAUUUGCUGCUACUGGUAUAACAAUUACAUUAUUGUAAUUGUUUCCUAACUGGUCUCCCAAACUCCAGUUAUUCAACUUUUCUCUUUUCUCUAAAGUAAAACCACCCACCUCUCACCACAAAAUAAUUCAACUCAUUAUAUGCCCAGUGCAGUAGUCCAAUGAUACUUAAUGCCUGGAGGCGGAGAACCAAAUUUCUUAACCUUAUUUUUAAAACCCUAUACCUUUCAUAUUUGCCAUUUCAUCUCCCCUACUUUUCCCUUCAUAACAAUGUGUUUCAUGCUUGUAGUAUAGUGCUGUCUUAGCUUGUCUCAUAUUAAAGCUAUCCAUAAUUGCUUCAAUUGGUCAUGUGAGACUGGAAAUGCAGAGAGAGCCAGGACAAUGCUUUCCUUGCCUUUGCUUAAUUCAAAAUGCUUUUCAGGAUGUUUUAUAUACAGUAGAAUAUAGCAGUGACUGCCACUUGUAUAUCCAUAUCAAUUCUCCCUUAUCAAAGCUCACCAGUCAAAGUCUAUACAGAACUCAAAUGUGGUCAAACAAGGAAGAGCAGGGUCUCUUAGUAACAGGAAGUUGGAAGAGGCUUAUUAUAGGAUUUAGACUUGUGCUGUGUGGCUAUAGAGGCUAGAGAAAGGAAGGCUAGCUUUGAAUUGAAUAAUGUCCAGAAGUAAGAGCAAUUCAGUAACAUAGUUGCCAGGUAUCAUAAUCUUUGUUCAGGACACUGGAGGAACAAAAUCAUGCUAGGGAUAUAUCAUUGGUAAUAAAACAGCAACAUACUCAAAAGUCAAUUUUUGCAGCUACAAUAUGGCCUUGUUAAAAACAUGGUUUAUUAUAAUCUAACCAUUAACAGCUAAUUUUUCAUUUUCUCUCUUUUCUUUCUUUUAGUGAUAGAACCACCUAAAUUUAAUAGGGUAUGUGGCUGUCCAGACUAUGCUAUUAAACCCUUCAUGUUGCUAAUUUUGUGUAUGUAGCUAAAUUCUAGUCAAUGGGAUGAAACCUGAUUUCAUGCUUGUGACUUCCAUAGUACAUUUUUUUUUAAAAAAAGAAACAGCUUUCUCUCAUUCAUCCUUUACUUCAUUCUAUGAACCAAACACAUAUGUAUUUCUGUAGGUCAGCUUUGACUAUGUAUUUCCUUGGAGAUAGUGGAGUAAAAAGUUAGAAGGCUCAUAAGAUUCCAUGACAACUUUGUGGAACAUAGCUACCUGUCUACCCUAGAUCGUUCACCUUCUUCUGAAUAGUAAAUGAAAAAGAAAUAAUCUAUCUUCCUUUACCCAGUGAACAUUUGAAUCUUUUCAUUAGAGUAGCUUGUUUCAUACUCAUUUAAUAACAUAUGACAAGAUAUUGGCCAUUGAAUUAUGAAUUAUAAUAAUAAAAUGUUAAGUACCUCUACUAUGGAUCUAGAAGUUCUUAGUUGGAUUAUGUGCAUUAUCUAUUACCUUCUUUGGCCUUCCAUUAUGUAACUUGCCAAGUAUUUUUAUGAAUCAGGAAACUAUUUGCAUAGAUACACUGAAUAAACAUGUAAGACUAAGAAGAAAUAAUAAAAAACAAAAACCUUAAAAGGAUUAUAAUAUCAUUAUAGAUAAUUGUAAAAUGAAAAGGAGUUUCACUCAUGCUUUGUUGUUUGAUGACAAAAGUCUUAUUUGUGUUGUCAAAUCUGCAUUUUUGAAAUGUGAACUGUGGACUUGGAUGGUGCUAUGGUCUGAAGGUUUACAUCCCCUCCAAAUUCAUAUGCUGAAAUUCCUACCCUAAAGAUGAUGCUAUUAGGAAUUAGGGCUUUUGGGAGGUAAUUAGGUCAUUGAGAUGGAGCUCUUGUGAAUGAAAAUAGUGCUUUUCUAUAAAAAAGGCCCCAAAAAGAACCUAUGCCCCUUCCACCUUGUGAAGUCACAACAUGAAUGCACCAUCUAUAAACCAAGGAUAUGGGUCCUUACCAGACAUCAAAUCUGGCAGCAUAUUGAUCUUGGAUUUCUCAACACCCAUGAUUGUGGGAAUUAAAUUUCUAUUGUUUACAAACCACCAAGUUUGUGGUAUUUUGUUACAGAAACCCAGACAGACUAAGAUAGAUGGAGAAGAGCUGGUUGAUUUCAAACAUAAGUUCUUGGGGAACUUCCUCCCAGUUAUAUUUAAAAAACAUUCUUUAAUCUUCACUGAAGCAAAUUGACAAAACAAAUUGCUACCUAGUAAGUUUCAGUCAUUUGAUAUGUAAAAAUUUUUUUCUGUAUAAUAUUAUCCAUGCUAUGAAAUACACAAAAAUUAACAACUAAUGAAAAUGAAUGUCUGAGAAUAUUUAUAAUUAUCACUAUAAAUAUUAUAAAUAUAAUUGAAAAUACAUUUCCU
rnacentral:lncRNA from 10 species